rfam:Schistosoma mattheei strain Denwood, Zambia genome assembly, scaffold: SMTD_scaffold0000061
AUCCAGCCGAUGAGUCGCAAAGAGGACGAAAUCCGCAUUCUGGAU